rnacentral:rRNA from 1 species
GAUGAACGCUGGCGGCGUGCCUAAUACAUGCAAGUCGAACGGGGAGUAGCAAUACUCUUAGUGGCGAACGGGUGAGUAACGCGUUGGUACCUGCCCCGAAGCGGGGGAUAACGGACCGAAAGGUCCGCUAAUACCCCAUGUGCUCGGUAACGAGUAAAGGUGAAAACCACUUUGGGAGGGGCAUGCGUCCCAUCAGCUAGUUGGUAAGGUAACGGCUUACCAAGGCGAUGACGGGUAGGGGACCUGAGAGGGUGGCCCCCCACAAUGGAGCUGAAACACGGUCCAUACACCUACGGGUAGCAGCAGUAGGGAAUAUUGGUAAUGGGCGCAAGCCUGAACCAGCAACGCCGCGUGUGCGAUGACGGCCUUCGGGUUGUAAAGCACUUUUGACUGGGACGAGGAAGGACGGUACCGGUCGAAUCAGCCUCGGCUAACUACGUG